rnacentral:rRNA from 1 species
AAACUUUACAAUGCUGGAAACAGCGAUAAGGGGACCUCGAGUGCCAGGUUACAAAUCUGGCUGUCGUGAUGCCUAAAAAGCAUUGCAUAGCAAGGGCCGGGCAAGACCGGUGCCAGCCGCCGCGGUAACACCGGCGGCUCGAGUGGUAACCGUUAUUAUUGGGUCUAAAGGGUCUGUAGCCGGCCGGAUAAGUCUCUUGGGAAAUCUGGCAGCUUAACUGUCAGGCUUUCAGGAGAUACUGUCUGGCUCGAGGCCGGGAGAGGUGAGAGGUACUUCAGGGGUAGGGGUGAAAU